rnacentral:rRNA from 1 species
AUGGCCGCGGGAUUCAGGCCUAACACAUGCAAGUCGAGGGGUAGAAAGAGCUUGCUUUUUUGAGACCGGCGCACGGGUGAGUAACGCGUAUGCAACCUACCUUAUACAGGGGAAUAGCCCGAAGAAAUUCGGAUUAAUGCUCCAUGGUUUAUCGAUAUGGCAUCGUAUUGAUAAUAAAGAUUUAUCGGUAUAAGAUGGGCAUGCGUAUCAUUAGCUAGUUGGUGUGGUAACGGCAUACCAAGGCAACGAUGAUUAGGGGUCCUGAGAGGGAGAUCCCCCACACUGGUACUGAGACACGGACCAGACUCCUACGGGAGGCAGCAGUGAGGAAUAUUGGUCAAUGGAGGCAACUCUGGACCAGCCAUGCCGCGUGCAGGAUGACGGUCCUAUGGAUUGUAAACUGCUUUUGUACAGGAAGAAACCUCCCUACGAGUAGGGACUUGACGGUACUGUAAGAAUAAGGAUCGGCUAACUCCGUGCCAGCAGCCGCGGUAAUACGGAGGAUCCGAGCGUUAUCCGGAAUUAUUGGGUUUAAAGGGUUCGUAGGCGGCUUUGUAAGUCAGUGGUGAAAUUUCCUAGCUUAACUAGGACACUGCCAUUGAUACUGCAGAGCUUGAAUAGUAUGGAAGUAACUAGAAUAUGUAGUGUAGCGGUGAAAUGCUUAGAUAUUACAUGGAAUACCAAUUGCGAAGGCAGGUUACUACGUAUUUAUUGACGCUGAUGAACGAAAGCGUGGGGAGCGAACAGGAUUAGAUACCCUGGUAGUCCACGCCGUAAACGAUGGAUACUAGCUGUUCGGUUUUCGGACUGAGUGGCUAAGCGAAAGUGAUAAGUAUCCCACCUGGGGAGUACGUUCGCAAGAAUGAAACUCAAAGGAAUUGACGGGGGCCCGCACAAGCGGUGGAGCAUGUGGUUUAAUUCGAUGAUACGCGAGGAACCUUACCAGGGCUUAAAUGUAGAUUGACAGAUUUGGAAACAGAUUUUUCUUCGGACAAUUUACAAGGUGCUGCAUGGUUGUCGUCAGCUCGUGCCGUGAGGUGUCAGGUUAAGUCCUAUAACGAGCGCAACCCCUAUUGUUAGUUACCAUCGCGUAGUGGCGGGGACUCUAGCAAGACUGCCGGUGCAAACCGUGAGGAAGGUGGGGAUGACGUCAAAUCAUCACGGCCCUUACGUCCUGGGCUACACACGUGCUACAAUGGCAAGUACAGAAAGCAGCUACCUGGCAACAGGAUGCGAAUCUCCAAAGCUUGUCUCAGUUCGGAUUGGAGUCUGCAACUCGACUCUAUGAAGCUGGAAUCGCUAGUAAUCGGAUAUCAGCCAUGAUCCGGUGAAUACGUUCCCGGGCCUUGUACACACCGCCC